GUACUCCAUCGCCUGCUGCUUCAGGUUCUGCAGCUCCCUAGUGGUCCCACAGCUGCGGCCGCCGUCUGCUUCCCCCAUGAUGGAGAGUGUUGGCGUGUACGGAUUCUGUGGGUGUAAAGCAAAGAACAAAAUGAAGUGUGAUUCAAAGUGGGAAAUAACUGCUUCAGGUAGGAAAUGAACCAAUACAUGAUUUUCCCCGUGCACAUGAACCGUUCGUGAGCUGUGAAAGCAAUCCCAUUUGACCAUCUGUUUGUUGCUUUACCGGGCCCCGUGACACCGCCGUCCCCCGUGUGCUUGGAUGGCUGCAGUGCAGACACCGCAGCAGCACGCAGGGCAGCCCACUGCGUCUGCAGGCAGCCGGGCUCUCAGAAGGUUCUUUCCUCGCUCGUCUGCUUGUAGUUUCUGACACUCAUGUUUGUUCAAUGAAUACUUAUUAAACACUGCUUUCAUUCCA